GCCAGCCGAGGCAGAUGACGAGGCCGCAGCUGGUUUAGUUUAAGGGGGCGACAACGGUGGGGGCGUCCAGACUCCGCGGAGGAAGUGACUCACCCAGAAGACGUAGCCUCAGCAGCCGUCGACAUUAACCCCGCCCCGCCGGAGGGAGGAGGCCGGCCCGGCCAGCCACGCCCCUGCCAGACGCGGGGCGGGACCCUCGAGCUCCAGCCCCCGCCCCUGCCGCCCGCCGCCCCCGCCGUCGUCCCCUCACCUCUUGGCGUCCGGGGACACCUCGCCCCGCACUCUGAGGCACUCCCCAGGUUUGAGAUUCAGGUUGCUGGCGACCAGACCCUGCGCAGACAAGACCCCGCCCAGCCGGGUUAGAGGACGCAGGGUAGGAGGGUGGGGGGUCGUGCCCCCGCCCCCCUCCCCGGGAAGACCAGGCCUGCUCUGACCAGGCCGACCCGAAGGCUGAGGAACCCGGCUGCAAGUUCUAGACUCUCCUUCUUUGUGUGGUCCUGGGCAAGUCCCUACUCUCAACUGGGUCAGUUUCUUGUCUGGAACAUGACUGAGGUUCUAGAAGACAGGAUCUAGAAGUUUCUGCGGUUUAGCCCAGGGAUUUUAGAUGCAGAGUAGCCUGGGAGGUGGAGUGCUGUGCUCCAUCGCCUCACUGAAUAGAUGGAGAGAACCAGGCUCCAAAUGCGUCACACUGCGAGUUGGGGGCAAAGGAAGGUGAGUGCGGCGUCUGCCCCUCUGCUGGAGAGGAAGAGGCCUGGGGCUGGGCCAUCCGCCACCAUCCCCUUCAAGCUCCUCUGUGCAGAGAGGGCCAGGGGCUGGAGAGGAGACCCCUAAGGAGCACAGCUAGACCCCUUUAAGAAGGGAAGGCAGCCCAGGGCGGGAGCCUGCAACCUGGCUGGCUCGGGGUUAACAAGAGCCAGCGCAAAGCUUAACUGGUGUGAGUGGUUCCUCCUGCCAGAAACUUGAAUCCUUUCCCUAGGGGCCUGCAGAAGAGUCUUGCUGCCUUCUUGCUCCUUUAUCACCCCCCCCACCCCCAGCUUGGAGGAAUGGUUGAGCGGGAAUUACCCCAGCCCCCACCUGACCAGCCUGGACAGAAUCACCCGCCCACGGCUAACCCAGGCAGGCUCCCUCCCGGCAGCCUGUCUCAGAUCCUGGCGACUUUUACAGCUCUGGAGCAGAGGGUGACUCUGCCCUGGCCCAGUGACAGGGACAGCUGCAGGGGGGAGGGGACAGGAGGCUCUUUGGGGGGAAGGGGGAAGGGAUAGUGGCCUGGGCGCCCUCAAAAUGCCCCACUCCACCUCCAGUCGGCCACACCCUUCCCACUCCCACUUAAAGAGCUGCAGAAUGUCAGCCCUUGGCAGAAAUAACUGUGCUGUCAGACCCUGGAGGAAUCCAGAAAAUUCUUAAGCCAGAGAAGGCCUUGGGGAACCAUGGAGCCCACUCCUAUUUUACAGACACGGUCACUGAGGCCCAGAAAAGACACUUGUUCAAGGCCACACCACAAGAACUAGAACCCAGAUCGUGAUCUGCCCUCACUCUGACUGGCUGUCUGCCCCCACGCCAUCUCUGGGCCUUGGGGUGGGGUCCCCAUACUCACACAAGCCAUGACUGAGGAGAGGAGGAUGUUCCUGGGACUUCGGGACCAGCUGUCUGAAGACUCUACUGGAGAGAUGGGCCACAGCCCGCUCCCACCCUUUUAACUGGACCAGACCCGGAGGUCUGGAGGAAACAACCUCAACAAGCUCUUCCCAUCUUUCUGAAGCAGACUCACAAGCAGAGAAAUAUACUGGGCCAUGCUUUGCGAUCACAUAAUGGCUGCAACCGCUUUCACACCCAAAGCCCAGAAGAGUGAGAGGAUGAGAGGGAUGCACCCGGAGGGUGUUGGACCACCUCAUGGGGCAGCCAAUAAACUCUUAUGCCUUAGCCAGGUUGAGCCAAGUCUGUCACAACCAGAAGUCUCCACAAGAGCACAUUUGCUCCCACUUCCUGAUGCAGCCAAGCUCAGUCAAGUACUCCCUCUUCCCCAGAAGAAUCAUACUGAAGAGAAUUUUCCAGACCUCGAAGUCCUACCCUCAGCCAGCUCACAGAUGGGCACCUGCUCUGCAGAAGGCACUGGGGAUGCUUGAGGCCAGCAGGGCAGACAGUCACAGCAGCAGCCCAGGUGUGAAGGAUGCCUGAAGUGGAGAGGGGUGCGCAGCAUCUCACCUGAGCUCCUGGAGGGUGAGGACCGGUCUCCCACCUCAGUCUCUACAGAGAGGGGCUGCAGCCUCCCGGAGUCAGCCAACACAAGUUCAGAUCCUGCUGCAGGUGAUCACAUUUUCUAGGUGUGUGCCCUCAUGUUUAACUCAACAUCACCUUUAUGAUGCUCAUUCCCCAAGGAGUAAAGUGGGAUGAGUAAUGCAAGCUUGCUGGAUUUUCUGAAGGACUGAAACAGAUUGGUAUAUAAAGACUCAGUGAGGCAUAAAGUGCUAUUGUGCUAAGGUACCACUGCACACAGAGAA